rnacentral:lncRNA from 1 species
ACUGCUUUCCAGACACCUCCAACCCACACAGCCCUUCAUCCCCGUUUAUUCAGUCCUGGAAAAGGAGUUCUGGUACGCCGGAGGGAAGUCAUGGCGGUUAUUAGGGGAUUUGGGUGGGGGGUGGGAGGCGGAGCCCAGAACGGAGAAACAGUGGAAAAUCACGACCCUCAAACCGAAAGUCUGUCCUUAGGAUGAAGCUUUCACUGAGCUGAAGGAAGAGGAAACGGCCCCGAAUCCUUGGAGGUCUGUCUGAAUUGGGGGCCCUGCACAAGUACAAGCCUGGUGGAAAAAAGUAAACUGCUCCUGCUCCCAGCAGGUCCUGCUCGGCUUGCAGCCUGGGGGAAACCUGUGAGCCUGAGUGGAAGUGCCUCGCCCAGACGUGCACACAUCCCGUUUAGGCAAGCCAGCUACACGCCCUGGAUCAG